GAUCAUGGCUCAGGACGAACGCUGGCGGCGUGCCUAAUACAUGCAAGUCGAGCGAAGUUUUUCUGGUGCUUGCACUAGAAAAACGGUUAGCGGCGAACGGGUGAGUAACACGUAAAGAACCUGCCUCAUAGACGGGGACAACUAUUGGAAACGAUAGCUAAUACCGGAUAACAGCAUAAAUCGCAUGAUAUAUGUUUAAAAGUUGGUUUCGGCUAACACUAUGAGAUGGCUUUGCGGUGCA
rnacentral:rRNA from 1 species